rnacentral:rRNA from 1 species
AGUGAACGCUGGCGGUAGGCCUAACACAUGCAAGUCGAACGGCAGCACAGUAAGAGCUUGCUCUUACGGGUGGCGAGUGGCGGACGGGUGAGGAAUACAUCGGAAUCUACUUUUUCGUGGGGGAUAACGUAGGGAAACUUACGCUAAUACCGCAUACGACCUACGGGUGAAAGCAGGGGAUCUUCGGACCUUGCGCGAUUGAAUGAGCCGAUGUCGGAUUAGCUAGUUGGCGGGGUAAAGGCCCACCAAGGCGACGAUCCGUAGCCGGUCUGAGAGGAUGAUCAGCCACACUGGAACUGAGACACGGUCCAGACUACUACGGGAGGCAGCAGUGGGGAAUAUUGGACAAUGGGCGCAAGCCUGAUCCAGCCAUACCGCGUGGGUGAAGAAGGCCUUCGGGUUGUAAAGCCCUUUUGUUGGGAAAGAAAAGCAGCAGGUUAAUACCCCGCUGUUCUGACGGUACCCAAAGAAUAAGCACCGGCUAACUUCGUG